GAUAUCCUACGGGGGGCAGCAGUGGGGAAUAUUGCACAAUGGGGGAAACCCUGAUGCAGCAACGCCGCGUGGGUGAAGGAGCGUUUCGGCGCGUAAAGCCCUGUCAGCGGGGAAGAAGAAAGACGGUACCCGGCCAAGAAGCCCCGGCUAACUACGUGCCAGCAGCCGCGGUAAUAAGUAGGGGGCGAGCGUUAUCCGGAAUUACUGGGUGUAAAGGGAGCGUAGACGGCGAGGUAAGCCUGAAGUGGAAGCCCGCGGCCCAACUGCGGAACUGCUUUGGGAACUGUGUUGAUGGAGUAUGGGAG
rnacentral:rRNA from 1 species